CUUGGUCAUUUAGAGGAAGUAAAAGUCGUAACAAGGUUUCCGUAGGUAGAGUUUUGCCUACUACAGC
rnacentral:rRNA from 1 species